CUCAUGGAGGUGUUGGUGGUGUAAGACCUGGUGUUUUGAUCCGUUCAGGUAUUUGGAAAAGAAAACACGAUACAGAUCUGCAUCGCCUCGUCUCCGAUUGGAAAUUCUGAGCUGAUUUUGAUUUUAUUUUACCAUGUUAUAUAUAGAUUUUGAUAUUGAUGCAUCGUUGAAAAUUCGAUCUCAUGGUUCAUAGUCGUAAGCAAAAUUGCAGCUUAAUUCAAUGUUUAUUCAAAUUCCAUGCUCCCGAGCGCUACCUCAAUGUUUUAGGAUCUUGGAUUGAAUUUCCCCUUUCUUUGAAAACACUAAUACACUUUCUUGUUUCGUGACCUUAAGAACUAGCAAUUUUGAUUUUCUACUUUUAUGAAUUUACUACACUUCUUUCAGCAUUUGAAUUAAACAUGAACAGCAGAAGUUAUGGUUGCUAGGUUAAAUGUAUAUCCACUAUCCAUGUUACCAUCAAGCUCACGAUGUUCUUGGUUUUUUAAAGAGAGAGUUUCUUCUUGAUGAGAGAUUACUUUUAACUGUUCAGAUGUUUUUUUUUUCUAUGCAAAAGAAUGAGGGUAGAUUUUGCGGGUGUUGUAGAUUUGCAUCUGAUUUUCUAGAAUUUGGUAAAGUGAAUUCUAGUUAGGCUGCGAUCACCAUCAUUUCCAUUCCAAAAAUGGUGAUCACCAUAAAGCCUGUUGUUCUAGUAUAGUGUAAUAGUGUAAUACAAACAAUGUAUUGUGUCAAUUUUCUUGUGACUUAAGGUUGCAGAAACAAUGGUUCUUGUACCUACGACCCGAAAAUUGAUCAAGAAAAAAGAAGAAAUUCACUGUCAGGUAUUCCAUCAAUGGAACAAGAGACUGUCGGUUUUAGUUUAACGAAAACCGUGUUCCGCCACAAUACUCGUUUGUGGGACUUGUGAAUUCAGAUUUAAUCAAGUCAGCAAACUCUAAGGGAGGAAAAGCUUUCAUUCACAGCAGCACAUUCUUUCAUCCAAUUGUUUAUGCAUAACCUCGGUUACUAGAGAUGGAGGCAGAUGUCUUGGCAGAGUGUAGACUGGAAACUCUCUAUCAUAGAAGCUGCUACCAAGAGAUAAAAGAGAGCUGGUUUGCUGGAAAAAAAGGCGAAAACAAAACACAAAUCUUAUGGUUCGUUAAUGAAUGCCAAAUUGGUGAUGCAGACAGAUAAAAGAGAGAAAGACCUGGUUCGCUGGCAAAAAAUGCGAAAACUGGCAUUCGGGUCUCUGGGAAUUUGUUAUGGACAAUCUUGAAGGGAGCUUC